GGGGUCACGCGGGCCUAGCCAGGGCGGGGUCGACACCCGCCUGGCCCCCAGGUGGCAUUCCUGGGGCCUCGCAUCCCUCGCCAGGUCCGAGAGCCGGACGCCAGCGUGUGUUUGUGGUCCGAGGCCCCCCAGCUUCCUCUCUGAAAGGACCCCUGAGGGCCGGCGGCUGUGCUGAGAGCGCCCCAACCGUGUCUUCCAGGCGGCAGCCUGCUGAGACCCCUCAGGUACCUGGCCAGUGCGCAGCACCCCCGCCCAGGACAGCAGUGCUCUGACGUCGCCUCCCGCCUUCACCUUGGGCCCCUGGAGGUUUGGAAUCUGGGAUGCACGGCUCUGGGUUAAUCCCCCUUCAGAGCUGGGACCGCCUACCACACUGUGCUUCUCUGUCCAGGCGGCUGCCGUCUCCCACGCGCUCCUCACUGGGAGAAGUCUCCCACCACCGCAAGGGGGAGGCCACAGCCUCUCAGCCUCCGGAGCUGAAUCGUGAUAGUGAUUCUUGGGUCUGAUCAUAGCAGAUUGUUUUCCGUAACACUACUGGCGGCACUACUGACUUUCCCUUUCUGGCAAGCACCAGUGAGUGGACCGUCCGGGGUGGACCUUUGUAGCUGCCUCCAAAAGACUAUGUGGGACGCAGUGCUGCCUGGCUUCUGAGGUUCUGAGGGUGGCUCCUCCUGAUUCUUGUUUCAGAACACUUGCCCUGGUGUUAAAAUCAAACACAACCAGAAAAAAUUCCCUGAGCAGACAAAACCAGCCAUAUAAGCAAAGCUUAAUUUAGCUUAUUUUGCAGCACAAGAAGGUCAACUUGACCUGAAACAGUUCCUGCUUAUGGCUCUGAAAAUCGUAAGCAAAACUUACAUAGUUCCCUAAAACUGAUGUUAAGUGACCACUAACCAAUUCCCUUUCAUUUAAGAAAAUGCCGAUAUUAUAACCAAUCAUAAUAAAGGACACAUAGUCACUGUGCUCACACUGUGUAAGCUGCUUCGUAACAUCCUCUGAGCCUCAUUCCCUGUUUUGGUUUGAGUGGUCUGGGUUUGCAAACUGUCUUUCUGGUGUGUGCACAUAAACUUAUACUAAUUUCUAA